UUCCGGUUGAUCCUGCCGGACCCCACUGCUAUCGGGAUAGGACUAAGACAUGCUAGUCGUGUGCCUCAGCCAAAACGAGGCACGGCGCACAGCUCAGUAACACGUGGCUAACCUGCCCUUAGGACGAGAAUAACCCCGGGAAACUGGGGCUAAUGCUCGAUAGGUGAAGAACUCUGGAAUGAGUCUUCACUUAAAAGAGUCUGCGUUAUGUUCGUAGAUUUCGCUUAAGGAUGGGGCCGCGACCGAUCAGGUUGUUGGUGAGGUAAUGGCUCACCAAGCCUUUUACCGGUGCGGGCCGUGAGAGCGGGAGCCCGGAGAUGGGCACUGAGACAAGGGCCCAGGCCCUACGGGGCGCAGCAGUCGCGAAAACUUUGCAAUACACGAAAGUGUGACAGGGCUAUCCCGAGUGCCAUCCGCUGAGGAAGGCUUUUACCCAGUCUAGAACGCUGGGGGAAUAAGGAGAGGGCAAGUCUGGUGUCAGCCGCCGCGGUAAUACCAGCUCUCCGAGUGGUGUGGAUGUUUAUUGGGCCUAAAGCAUCCGUAGCUGGCUAAGUUAGUCCCCUGUUAAAUCCAACGAAUUAAUCGUUGGAUCGCGGGGGAUACUG
rnacentral:rRNA from 1 species